AUUUCAGAAUUGAACAUAGCCUGUACAUUCACGGGAAGAUACAGUUUGUUAGUUCGCAAGUCCGGGUGAACAGAAUCAGUUUGAGCAGUACCAUACUUAUCGAUAAUCCCAACACUAUCUGGUUUGGCCUGAGUGGUUUUGUCAUUGUGGCAUUGCCAUCAACAUCUUUAAAGAAUUGAACAUAGCCUGUACAUUCACGGGAAGAUACAGUUGUUUAGUUCGCAAGUCCGGGUGAACAGAAUCAGUUUGAGCAGUACCAUACUUAUCGAUAAUCCCAACACUAUCUGGUUUUGGCCUGAGUGGUUUUGUCAUUGUGGCAUUGCCAUCAACAUCUUUAAAGAAUUGAACAUAGCCUGUACAUUCACGGGAAGAUACAGUUUGUUAGUUCGCAAGUCCGGGUGAACAGAAUCAGUUUGAGCAGUACCAUACUUAUCGAUAAUCCCAACACUAUCUGGUUUUGGCCUGAGUGGUUUUGUCAUUGUGGCAUUGCCAUCAACAUCUUUAAAGGUUAAGUGACUAUGAACAAAACAGGAGAUAGUGUAGAACCCUGUGGAACACCUGAGGAAUUUCACACCUUCACAGCCAGAUGCACAGACAUGACAAUAUACCUUAAUAAAGCCCCUAGCAUGGAUUAUCUUGUCUCUAA